rnacentral:rRNA from 1 species
UAGGGAAUCUUCGGCAAUGGGGGGAACCCUGACAGAGCAACGCCGCGUGAGUGAAGAAGGUUUUCGGAUCGUAAAGCUCUGUUGUUAAGGAAGAACGAGUGUGAGAAUGGAAAGUUCAUACUGUGACGGUACUUAACCAGAAAGGGACGGCUAACUACGUGCCAGCAGCCGCGGUAAUACGUAGGUCCCGAGCGUUGUCCGGAUUUAUUGGGCGUAAAGCGAGCGCAGGCGGUUAGAUAAGUCUGAAGUUAAAGGCAGUGGCUCAACCAUUGUAGGCUUUGGAAACUGUUUAACUUGAGUGCAGAAGGGGAGAGAGGAAUUCCAUGUGUAGCGGUGAAAUGCGUAGAUAGAUGGAGGAACACCGGUGGCGAAAGCGGCUCUCUGGUCUGUAACUGACGCGGAGGCUCGAAAGCGUGGGGAGCAAACAGG